rnacentral:rRNA from 1 species
UACGUAGGGGGCAAGCGUUAUCCGGAAUUACUGGGUGUAAAGGGAGCGUAGACGGUAAUGUAAGUCUGGAGUGAAAGGCGGGGGCCCAACCCCCGGACUGCUCUGGAAACUAUGUUACUAGAGUGCAGGAGAGGUAAGCGGAAUUCCUAGUGUAGCGGUGAAAUGCGUAGAUAUUAGGAGGAACACCAGUGGCGAAGGCGGCCUGCUGGACAGUAACUGACGUUGAGGCUCGAAAGCGUGGGGAGCAAACAGG